AGCUCCAUAGUCUAGCGGCCAAGGAUAUCAGGCUCUGGACCUGAAGACCCCGGUUCGAAUCCGGGUGGAGCUA
rnacentral:tRNA from 1 species